UUUUCAUAAAAAUUCCAUAUUCCACUCAAAGUGUAAUGAGCAACGACAAAUCAUCACACGACAAAAUCUUCAUUCACGCAUUGUUUGUCGACAAAACGUUACAAUGACCAAACCCAAACCCUCCCCUUUCCCUUUUAUUCUUUCUUCUCAAUAACAAUGAACACCCAGAAAAUUAAGCUAUCUUUUUCGAGUGUUGGCCAAGUUUUUUAUGUGAUUUGAUUUGGGUUUUUGAUCAUCUACAAAACUCAGUAAGGAUUUAGCUCAACUCUUCUUCUAUAUAUAUAUAUUUGAAUUUAUGAGGUUUUUGUUACUUUUUUUUUUUCAACUCUUUAUCUAAAAAAAAAACCCAGAAAAUUAAGCCAUUUUUUUCAAGUAUUGGCUAAGUUUUUUAUGUGAUUUGAUUUGGGUUUUUGGUCAUCUUCAAAACCCAGUAAGGAUUCCGCUCAACUCUUCUUCUAUUUUUUUGGGGAAUUUUUUUUUUUUGAAUUUGUGAGGUUUUUGUUACUUUUUAUGAACCUUUUUUAGACAAAUCACUGUUUUUCAUCUCUUUUUUUUUUCUGGUUGGAUUUUUUGUUCAAUUAAAAUUCUCAGUUUUUUUAAUUUCCCCCCUUUUUGGGACAUUAAUUUCAUGAAAUUUUGAAUAUAUAUAAGCUUGGAGCUGUGUAAUUUAAUGGUGUAAAUGUCCCAAAACGAAUCCUCACCGUUAAAAUCAUCAUCAUCAUCACUGCAAGUUUUUUCUAUGAUGUCCUUGUCACCUAGCUUAGGAUCAUCAUAUCCAUGGCUUAAAGAACUUAAAUCAGAAGAAAGGGGUUUAUAUUUGAUCCAUUUGUUACUCACCUGUGCUAAUCAUGUAGCCACCGGUAGUCUCGAAAACGCGAACAUUGCGCUCGAGCAAAUAUCGGAACUCGCUUCACCGGACGGCGAUACGAUGCAACGUAUUGCCGCUUAUUUCACCGAAGCACUAGCGGACCGGAUCCUCAAAACGUGGCCCGGUCUGCAUAAGGCUAUUAAUUCGACUAGGGUUGUCGAUUUGGUAUCGGAACAAGCUUUGGUUCGGAGGUUGUUUUUCGAGGUGUUUCCGUUUUUGAAAGCGGCAUUCUUGCUUGUUAACCAAGCUAUAAUCGAAGCGAUGGAAGGGGAAAAGGUGGUACAUGUGAUUGAUCUCGACGCGGCGGAGCCUAUGCAAUGGAUUGCACUCAUUCGAGGUUUGAGUGCAAGACCAGAAGGUCCGCCGCAUUUGAGGAUUACGGGGAUACAUGUACGAAAAGAAGUGUUGGAUCAAAUGGGGCAUAGAUUGUCGGAAGAAGCCGAGAAGUUGGAUAUACCGUUUCAAUUUAAUCCGGUCGUUGGCGAAUUAGAGGAUCUCGAUGUUGAAAGACUGCAUGUUAAAACCGGGGAAGCGGUAGCUAUUAGCUCGGUUCUCCGAUUGCAUUCUCUUUUGGCUUCUGAUGACGAACCCCUUCGGAAGAAACUUCCGUUAGCAUUGAAGAACUCAAAUGGAAUCCACUUACAAAGAGCCUUACAAAUGAGUCAAAACACCUUAGGAGAGUUACUCGAGAAAGAUACGGUUAACGGAUACAGCCCUAGCCCGGACUCGGCUUCUUCGUCGCCCUUAUCUUCACCCGUUUCACCGAAGGUCGAUACCUUUCUUACCGCACUACGUGGCUUGUUGCCUAAACUCGUGGUCAUAACCGAGCAAGACUCUAACCACAACGGGUCCACACUAAUGGAAAGGCUAUUAGAGUCCCUCCAUUCGUACGCGGCAUUGUUCGAUUGCUUGGAAUCCACGGUCUCAAGGGCAUCCUCCGAGAGACUUAAACUCGAAAAGAUGCUCUUCGGGAACGAAAUCAAGAACAUAAUAUCUUGCGAAGGAGCCGAGAGGAAAGAGAGACAUGAAAAGCUAGAGAAGUGGAUACAAAGGCUCGAUUCAGCCGGGUUCUGUAACGUCCCAUUGAGUUACUACGGCAUGUUGCAAGCGAAGACAUUGUUGCAAGGUUAUAACUGCAACGGGUACAAGAUGAAAGGCGAGAACGGCUGUGUCAUGAUUUGUUGGCAAGAUCGACCGAUGUUUUCAGUAUCGGCUUGGAGGUGUCGGAACAGUUUAUGAAAUGAAAAUCACAAUGAUUUUUUGAAGUUAUACAUACUCAUCGUGUUAGGUGAAAAAUUUACCCUUGAGUUAUACAUGGACAAUGGUCAUCGUGUUAGGUGCAAAUUUUACCCUUGGUAACUUUUAUUUUACUUUUUCAUCUCAAUAUUGAUAUUUACCCUGUAUUGGUUAAAAAUUUUAACUGUUGAGUGCAAUGUACAGUUAGUUUUCUUUUUUCAA